CCUACGGGUGGCAGCAGUGAGGAAUAUUGGUCAAUGGGCGUAAGCCUGAACCAGCCAAGUCGCGUGAGGGAUGAAGGUUCUAUGGUUCGUAAACCUCUUUUAUAAGGGAAUAACGUGUGGGCCUUCUCCUGUUUUGUAUGUACCUUAUGAAUAAGCAUCGGCUAACUCCGUUCCAGCUGCCGCGGUAAUACGGAGGAUCCGAUCGUUAUCCGGAUUUUUUGGGUGUAACGGGUUCGUAGGCGGCCUUUUAAGUCAGCGGUGAAAGUCAGGGGCUCAACCAUAGAAUUGCCGUUGAAGCUGUGAGGCUUGAGGAUGUUUGAGGCAGGCGGAAUGCGUGGUGUAGCGGUGAAAUG
rnacentral:rRNA from 1 species